rnacentral:tRNA from 1 species
ACCUGGGUGGCUCAGUGGUUGAGCGUCUGCCUUUGGCUCAGGUCGUGAUCCCGGGGUUCUGGGAUCAAGUCCCACAUCAGGUU